GACGAACGCUGGCGGCGUGCUUAACACAUGCAAGUCGAGCGGUAAGGCCCUUUCGGGGGUACACGAGCGGCGAACGGGUGAGUAACACGUGGGUGACCUGCCCUUAGCUCUGGGAUAAGCCUGGGAAACUGGGUCUAAUACCGGAUAUGACUCCAUGACGCAUGUUGUGGGGUGGAAAGCCCUGUGCGGCUAGGGAUGGGCCCGCGGCCUAUCAGCUUGUUGGUGGGGUGAUGGCCUACCAAGGCGACGACGGUAGCCGGCCUGAGAGGGCGACCGGCCACACUGGGACUGAGACACGGCCCAGACUCCUACGGGAGGCAGCAGUGGGGAAUCUUGCGCAAUGGGCGAAAGCCUGACGCAGCGACGCCGCGUGGGGAUGACGGCCU
rnacentral:rRNA from 1 species